CAGCAGCCGCGGGAAUACAGAGGGUGCGAGCGUUAAUCGGAUUUACUGGGCGUAAAGCGUGCGUAGGCGGCUUUUUAAGUCGGAUGUGAAAUCCCUGAGCUUAACUUAGGAAUUGCAUUUGAUACUGGGAAGCUAGAGUAUGGGAGAGGAUGGUAGAAUUCCAGGUGUAGCGGUGAAAUGCGUAGAGAUCUGGAGGAAUACCGAUGGCGAAGGCAGCCAUCUGGCCUAAUACUGACGCUGAGGUACGAAAGCAUGGGGAGCAAACAGGAUUAGAUACCCCCGUAGUCCCUGUCUCUUAUAC
rnacentral:rRNA from 1 species